rnacentral:rRNA from 1 species
UUAUACCUACGGGGCGCAGCAGUGGGGAAUAUUGCACAAUGGGGGAAACCCUGAUGCAGCGACGCCGCGUGAGCGAAGAAGUAUUUCGGUAUGUAAAGCCCUAUCGGCAGGGAAGAAGCAAGACGGUACCUGACUAAGAAGCCCCGGCUAACUACGUGCCAGCAGCCGCGGUAAUACGUAGGGGGCGAGCGUUAUCCGGAUUCACUGGGUGUAAAGGGAGCGUAGACGGCCAAGCAAGCCAGGGGUGAAAGCCCGGGUCCCAACCCCGGGACUGCCCUUGGAACUGCAUGGCUGGCGU